AGAGGGAUAGCCCAGAGAAAUUUGGAUUAAUACCUCAUAGCAUCAUGUUCCGGCAUCGGGAUAUGAUUAAAGUCACAACGGUGGAAGAUGAGCAUGCGUCCCAUUAGCUAGUUGGUAAGGUAACGGCUUACCAAGGCUACGAUGGGUAGGGGUCCUGAGAGGGAGAUCCCCCACACUGGUACUGAGACACGGACCAGACUCCUACGGGAGGCAGCAGUGAGGAAUAUUGGUCAAUGGACGCAAGUCUGAACCAGCCAUGCCGCGUGCAGGAUGACGGUCCUAUGGAUUGUAAACUGCUUUUGUACGGGAAGAAACACUCCUACGUGUAGGAGCUUGACGGUACCGUAAGAAUAAGGAUCGGCUAACUCCGUGCCAGCAGCCGCGGUAAUACGGAGGAUCCAAGCGUUAUCCGGAAUCAUUGGGUUUAAAGGGUCCGUAGGCGGUUUGGUAAGUCAGUGGUGAAAGCCCAUCGCUCAACGGUGGAACGGCCAUUGAUACUGCCGAACUUGAAUUAUUGGGAAGUAACUAGAAUAUGUAGUGUAGCGGUGAAAUGCUUAGAGAUUACAUGGAAUACCAAUUGCGAAGGCAGGUUACUACCAAUGGAUUGACGCUGAUGGACGAAAGCGUGGGUAGCGAACAGGAUUAGAUACCCUGGUAGUCCACGCCGUAAACGAUGGAUCCUAGCUGUUGGUGGCAACAUCAGUGGCUAAGCGAAAGUGAUAAGUAUCCCACCUGGGGAGUACGAACGCAAGUUUGAAACUCAAAGGAAUUGACGGGGGCCCGCACAAGCGGUGGAGCAUGUGGUUUAAUUCGAUGAUACGCGAGGAACCUUACCAAGGCUUAAAUGCAGACUGACCGAUUUGGAAACAGAUCUUUCGCAAGACAGUUUACAAGGUGCUGCAUGGUUGUCGUCAGCUCGUGCCGUGAGGUGUCAGGUUAAGUCCUAUAACGAGCGCAACCCCUGUUGUUAGUUGCCAGCGAGUAGUGUCGGGAACUCUAACAAGACUGCCAGUGCAAACUGUGAGGAAGGUGGGGAUGACGUCAAAUCAUCACGGCCCUUACGCCUUGGGCUACACACGUGCUACAAUGGCCGGUACAGAGAGCAGCCACCCCGCGAGGGGGAGCGAAUCUAUAAAGCCGGUCACAGUUCGGAUCGGAGUCUGCAACUCGACUCCGGAAGCUGGAAUCG
rnacentral:rRNA from 1 species